UACGGAGGGUGCAAGCGUUAUCCGGAUUCACUGGGUUUAAAGGGUGCGUAGGUGGGUUGGUAAGUCAGUGGUGAAAUCCCCGAGCUUAACUUGGGAACUGCCAUUGAUACUAUCAGUCUUGAAUAUUGCGGAGGUUAGCGGAAUAUGUCAUGUAGCGGUGAAAUGCUUAGAUAUGACAUAGAACACCAAUUGCGAAGGCAGCUGGCUACGCAUAUAUUGACACUGAGGCACGAAAGCGUGGGGAUCAAACAGG
rnacentral:rRNA from 1 species